UUUCGUCGCGUCUGUGUGUUGAUCAAAGCGAAUAAUUUUAUGAGUGUCUAUAAUGCGCCUGCGCUUUCGUUUCAUGCGAAUAUAUACAUAUUGACCAUAAGUGCCUAAAACGAAAGAAAUUAUUUUAAACGGUUGCUCGUUCCUUCGACAUCACUUCUGACGACUUCGUUCAUGUGACGUCACUUGUUUAUUGCUUUUUUUUCAACGGUUCGCCGUCGACACAAUUGAAGCGCGUGUGACAAACAACAAUAAAACACCGAAAAUACCGCACGAAGUCCGAAAAAAACGCCAAGACGACGACGGAAACGAUGUCUUGGAGAUAAAA